GUAGGGCGCAAGCGUUGUCCGGAAUUAUUGGGCGUAAAGAGCUCGUAGGCGGCCUGUCGCGUCGGUUGUGAAAGCCCGGGGCUUAACCCCGGGUCUGCAGUCGAUACGGGCAGGCUAGAGUUCGGUAGGGGAGAUCGGAAUUCCUGGUGUAGCGGUGGAAUGCGCAGAUAUCAGGAGGAACACCGGUGGCGAAGGCGGAUCUCUGGGCCGAUACUGACGCUGAGGAGCGAAAGCGUGGGGAGCAAACAGGAUUAGAUACCCUGGUAGUCCACGCCGUAAACGGUGGGAACUAGGUGUGGGCAACAUUCCACGUUGUCCGUGCCGUAGCUAACGCAUUAAGUUCCCCGCCUGGGGAGUACGGCCGCAAGGCUAAA
rnacentral:rRNA from 1 species